AGCGACAUAGGGGAGAGGUUAACCCGUCGGGCUCAUAAUUAAUUUUAUGCCGAUUGUAUCGGCUUUUAUACCUUUUAGGUUACCCGAAGAUCACUAGUUCGAAUCUGGUUGUCGCUU
rnacentral:tRNA from 1 species